AAAAAGGUUACAUUCGCUAUUAUGUCGCCUUCACGGCAUGCAUGUAACAUUCAUUCUAUCAUAGAUUUACAUAGAACGUCUUACAGUGUUCAUUUCCGCAGUUACCUAAACGUCACAGUGCGUACGAAAUUACUUUCAGGCCGACGAGGAAACGGCUCCAGGACUUCUUCCAACGAGAUGGCUUGCGAGGCGUGUAGUGCGAAGUUCAACUUGUUCAAAAGAAAAAAACAAUGUAUGGACUGUCUGAGAUAUUUUUGCUCUGAGUGUGUGAUCAAACGGAUGGACAAGAUAUUUACAUGCGAGAGUUGCGGCGUACUUUCUAGGAGACCACUUGUUAAGAAUCAAAUUAGACAAAUGCGUUCCAAAGACAUACGUCAGUAUCUCGUAGCAAAAAAGGUUUCUGUCAAAGGAUGCAUUGAGAAAGAAGACUUGGUGCAUAUACUAAUGAGCUUUGCUAAUGGAGCUGAUCCCUGCUUAUGUGCUGAUCCCAGUAUAAAUCACAAUAUCAGAUUGCAAAAUGUGCAAGAGCCAGUUGUUUUCAGAGUUGAGUCUUCCUUAAACAGAUCGGAAAGCAUGCCAAAUGUCAGCAUAAAUAACGCACCACAUGAAAAUGCACAGGCAGAACCACAGCCCACAAGAAGUGAAGAUGUUGAAAUGGAAGAUGACUUGGUGGUGGAAGUUGGAAGUAGUAGUAGAAGUACUGCUAGUAGUCCGAUCGUAAGCAUUCCGCCCAGCGAUAAUGAGUCGCCCGAAGACAGAUCGACGAGAAGCAAUCACGUUGAAAUAGAAGAAGUGCUCGAUAGUAAUCCAGCCGAUUCUAGUAAUGCGGUCCAAGCAGAGCCAGUAGUUACCGAGCAAGAGGAAGUUUCUGAAACAUCAAAUGAAAAAAAAUCAGAUAUGGUUACAGAAAUUCCCACGUGGUCAGAUAAAGUGCAUCUGUCAGACAUUAAAGAAGCAUCGGAACUAGAAUAUUUAAACAUUAAACAAUUGAAAAAUCUAUUGAGUACAAAUCGCGUAGAUUACAAAGGCUGCAUAGAAAGGCAGGAAUUGUUGAACAGGGUGUCCAGAUUAUGGCAAGAGUAUAAACAAUCUAGACAAGACGUGGAAAAGUUAAGCGAAGAAGAAUUGUGCAAAAUCUGUUGGGACGCUCCGAUUGAGUGCGUAAUUUUGGAAUGCGGUCACAUGGCUUGCUGCAUCAAUUGCGGCAAACAAAUGUCUGAGUGUCCAAUAUGCAAGCAAUAUGUCAUCCGUGUCGUGCGAUUCUUCAAAGCUUGACGAGACAACGAUUAGAGCGUAAUAGAUUGGCGGACUAUAAUUUUUUUAAUCUACGAGCAGUUCGAUGAAAAACGGAACCGAUUGAUGAUAAGAAGCCAAAUCCUGAAACAAAGUUUUUUGUGCAAAGAAUUUAUUAGCGUAUGCGAUGAAUGAUGAUUAGUUCUAUGUAAAAUAUGAUCCAGUUCUGUGUAAGAUAUAUUUCAGUUCUAUAUAAAAUGUAUACAUCAGUUGUAUAUGCACUGUUUUCGAAAAGAAACUGGUUCUUGAAGAACUAAACGUCAUUUAAAGUACAGUUCCGAAGUUUAAAGAUAAUAUUUGGAGAUAAAUGUCUAUAUAGCAUUUUAAUUAUUAGCUAUGUAUCGCGAUAAAGUUUUAAAAUGCCAAGGGAGAGAACAUAAAGUCCUUUAUUUUACGGAGUUGCGCAUUCUCUGACGCUCCUGACCUCCUGUCAUCCCAGAAUUUUUGUAUGUGCAAUGUAUGUUUUUUAUGGAAAUAAACUCGAAAUGAAUUUUAAUUAUAUAGAA
rnacentral:misc_RNA from 1 species